AGUCAACGUGCCAAUGGGAUGACGGAUCUUGACGCAAUGCAGAGUCGCUGGUCUUCUGCUGGGUCUUCGUCAGUCUACAUCCUUCAUGGCUGUGCUUCUUCGACGGGAAGUAUACAUUCAAAUAUUUUAUUUAUUAUUUUAUUAUCAAAUACUUUUGUCUAACAGCUGUCACUCUGUCCUAAUGUUUGUGUCAGUCUCUAUCUUUCUGUUUGUCAAUACACUAUUUAUCUUUUACGGUUUCUGUCUAUCCCUGUUUUUAAUAGAUAUUUUUUCUCUAUAGCCCUCUACUAUAUUGCCAAUGGUUUGAUUUCUGUGGAGGAUUUCUAGAGUGGUGGACCUUGCUCUUUAGGGUUAUUACGGGCUGUAGUGUGUUGGUUUGAUUCCUGGAUGAUGGAAGAUUUCUGGAGUGGUUGGUGUUCUUUAGGGAUGUGACUACGGGCUGUAGCGUGUUUGUUAGAUUUCCGGAGUGGUUGGUGUUGUGCUUUAGGGUUGUGACUACGGGCUGUAGCGUGUUGGUUUGAUUCCUGGAUGAUGGAAGGGCUCUAGAGUGGUUGAUGUCCUUUUUAAUAUUGUGAUUGUGGGCUGUUGUCGGUUUGACUCCUGGAUGAUGGAAGGUAUUUACAGUGGUUGGUGUUGUGCUUUAGGGUUGUGACUACAGGCUGUAGCGUGUUGGUUUCCUUCCUGGAUGAUGGAAGGUAUUUGGUGGUUGGCGUUGUGAUUAUAGGCUGCCGCUUGGUUUGAAUCUUGUGUGGGUUGAUGUUGGAUUUCCAGGUCGUUUGUGCUGCGGCCUGUACUGUAGUUGACUUUUUGGGUUUUGUCCCCCUCUUCUAUAUUUUCUCUCUCCCCCUCCCUUCGGGGCUCUUUAUUUACAAAGUGUUCAUGUUACUAACAUCACUUCUGAUAGAACAAACCUUCAUAUUGACCUCUCAGCUUGAUGGAAUAAAUACUUUCCAUUUGUUAAAGUGUUGGACAGAUGUUGAUCUCUGGAGCUUCCAGACCAGUUCCUGGAGGACCGCUGCUACACCGAUGCCGAUGUUUGCUUCUGGACUGAUGGAGGGGGCGGUUGCUGGUUCCUUGGCUGGUUUCUCGGUCCAUCUACAUCCUCCCAUGCUGCGAUUCCUUGAUGGCAAGUAUACAAUUAAAUAUUGUAAUACAUUUGCGAUUAGUGUAAAGAACACUUAUGUGUAUGAGCAAAUGGCUUGCUAUGGUAAUUGUGCUUUUGACAGUUUUAUAACCCUUAGGAGUCUUCUACUGUACUAAUCGCAAGUGUAUUUGAAGAUUGGUGUAGUAGCCCGUCGGUGUGUAUUUACUGAUGUCAGCCUAUUACUAAUGUAACUUCUUCCCUGCAGUCCUUGUGCUUUCUCGCCCCGCAGCUUUCCCUGAAUUGCGUCAACCCUGUCGAUCAUUCUUCUGGACCAGUUUCUGAUGACUGCUUUUGGCCAAAUACGGUGAAGUUGUGGGUUUUUCAGUCCUCUACGCCCUCCCUUGCUGAGACCCCUUAAUGGUAAUUAUACAUUUAAAUAACUUGCAAAAUUAUCAUAAAAUCCAGAGUGUCAUAAAACUUGUCAGUCCGUCACAUUUUUAGAUUUCCCUGUUAGUGUAUAAUUUUACUGAUGUUUCCUGCCUGUUACUAACUUAACUUCUUCCUUGCAGUGCUUGUGCUUUCUCACCCCGCAGCUUUCCACGCUGUCUAUCAUUCUUUUGGACUUCCUGGACCAGUUUCUGGAUGACUGCUUUUUGCCAGAUACGGU